rnacentral:lncRNA from 1 species
UUCCGUCUGUGUUAGCACUGUCGGUUUCGCUCUCGCCUUCGAAGCAAAUCCAUACCAUCGAGUAGAUCCAAGUACUACAAUCAAUGCCAUUCCGGUCUUUAAUAGAAUCAACAUUAGUCAAUCUAUACAGAAUCUCCAGCCACUUAUCGCGGAUUUGGCAACUACAAUAACAUCAGCAAUUGUGUAUUUAAUUAGGGGACCGACAAGAGAGCUCAUCACGUCUACCUACGGCAGAUAAUGCCAUAACGCCGGGACGAUUCAUCCCUUUUACUGACCUUUCACAAGCGUAAUUCUGACAUUCAAUUGUCGGCGGAUGACCAAGAGAGUUUUUGUUCCAAGUCCCUCUGUGCCUGCUCCUGUCUUUCUUUCUGCCUGGUUUUAUGCCUAAAUAAUCUGGUCAAACACCCAACUCGAAAGACUGAUUCUCUGAAGAUCGAUAAAGGUUUUGCCAGAAGGAAAAAAUCGAGUUUCCUCUUCAAAUUCCAUUUGUUGUGAGUAUGACUUUGUACCCAGAGGUAGCGAAAGCCAGCCGGCGACGUAUGGUUCCUGUACGGUUUCCAACAAUCCUUGCUCUCGUUCAACUGGAUUAAAGUUUAAUCUCGUCACGUGCACAGACAGAUGAUGCAAAGUGAAAUAUGGGAAGCGAUCCCAGGUGACAGAGGAGGUUGUGUGAAACAUUGAUCUGUACAGCAAGCCCAAGCAUGGAUCUCAAGAAGCGCUGUUUCAUGAACGUCGGCAGAUUAGCAUUUGAGAAGAGAUUGCCAUUUAGCCCAGGAAUCCUCGAAACGGGAAACAUCCUCUGCCCUGGUUGCUGCUCGCCAUACUGCCAGUAGAAGCCAGGCAAUCAAUGGUUGAGCGCGUCAUCUGACGGGAUCUCAAACACAGCUCUGACAGGCUCGGCAGACUCCGCUAUGUACUGUGGCCAUCUACAACAUAUACAGAGAGAUUGUAGCUUGACGUAUACCGUCACCACCAGACCCGCGCAGAACGAAUACACUUGUCACAUCCUGCCUUGAUUGAGUGACUGACUGCGGCGCGAGCACCAAGCAACUCACAUAUCGACAUCCCUGUGAAUCAAGUGCUGUACUGAAAUCGGGAUAUUUAUUUCGAUACCUGGUGUGUUAUGUUUGAGACUCCGAAGAAAACAUACAACAGGAUGUCUUAGAAGAAUGAUGGGGAUCACCCUGUACAAUUGUAGACAAUCCCAGAGUUCUCAAUGCACCUGUGUCGUUGCCAGUUCUGUUGAUAUGCACUCUAUCUAUUAUAUCAUUCAUGAUCAGUGAAGCAAAGCAUGCCUUUAUUGAACACCGCGACGAAUCCCCAAAGGUAUGUCUUCCUCUACAAAGGAAUACAUGGAUGAUUCACUUACCGUUACCAGCGCAAACAAAUAACACGUUUACCAACCUGGCAGUCGUACCAAGGUAAGAUAUAGACCCGCUUUAUCACGCAACUCUACUAGUGUGACCGUCGGAAUUAAGGCCAACCUGUGUCAAAGAAGACGUAUUUUCUGUCGUUCUAUACUAUGUUGUGAGACUCGGACCUGGUAUUGAUCGUGUUGUGUCAACGUGUUUCGGGGCUCUAGUGAUCACCAGUAUGGAUUCCAAACACUGCUGGUUAGAUAGAAUACCAUAGUGCAGUUGGCAGCAGAAUCCUGCGUGGUUAUCCGUUAUGGUUGCAGAGGUGUAGUGGACACCCAGUUCUUGAAGGCAUUCUACGAUAUAGAUUCGUCUUUUAGGGGCAUCGUCUCAGUUCAGCAAAAUAAAUGGGAUUACCUAUUUCGACUACAUGUGAAAUUCAAAUCAUAAAGCAGGAUAUUGGACCGUCUUAGAUGUAAAUGUACGUGUGUGUUGAACUAUGAUUCACAUACGUGACCUCCACAUGCAUGUCAAACGACAGCCCAUCUCUGCUUUGGAACGUGACUAUAACAUAGUACACACAAGGCUGAGACAGUAAUUUGAAGAAGGUCUUGAUUACUAGAGCAAAUCCAUCCUUGAAUCAGGAAGCAAGGGUUAAUUUCAUCUUCAGGAUUACUACAGAAAACGGAGUUAUUACAUUAAGAUGCUGCGCUGGAGAAGGAAACGUGACGAUAUUGAUAGUACAAUGACAAGAAACAGUAAAACGAAGUGUGGACGGGAGAAGGGAUUGUGGAUUCAUCUCGACCUUUUCCUUGUGCGCUGAAAUGCCAAUGUGCUCAUUUAAGUGUGUUUAACAGCUUAAGCCCGCUAAUUCGUAUUCAGCUGGAGAUUUCUAUUUCAGUUUUUGUGGUUCUGUCACGUGUGUUAUUAGCUCUUGUGCGAGUUAUCUUGCGUUCGUGAAUCGUUUUAACGACAAAGACCAUCAGGAUGAUGGACCAAGAGGACAAGGUGGAGAUGGAAGAACCAUCAUCCAUCACACGCUACCAUCAUCUAAUAAUCAGAAACAAACACAUCCUCUCUGAAAUCAAACUAUCUGUCGUCAUCGUCAUCGGCAGUAUAGUCAUUAUCGCGUGUUUGGUGUAUAUUGUUAUACAGUGUAGGACAAAAGGCAACCCUAAUCGUACCAUGAAAAAUAGACGAGCUGAUGACGAGGAAGAACUGUUCGAUUCUUCCGACACCACCGAGCAGCUUCUUCCACAACCGCCAGAUAACGCCAUUAGACUGAAGGUUCGACGUGAACCGGAGUUCUAUGUGUGAAUGCAGCAGCGUGUUUCGAAGGUGUAGAUAUUUCAGGGUAUUUGCUGAGAAACUGCAAUUUAUGUGUGCAUUCCUAUGGAAGGUGAUGCAAGGAUCUUUUUGGAGUGAGUACUGGUGUUCACUCUGUGGAUCACUGGUGUUCAUUCUUUGUGUACAGCGUUCACUGGAGCCUGUAAAGAUGGAGAGGAUAUUUAACACAUCUGUGAAUUAAAUACUUGGGAAUAUGACAGGAGAGUGCUUUCCCAGCUUGAAUUUGCAACGUCUUUCUUGCAACACAAUUGCAUAAGAGAUGAAUUACAUAGCCAUUUAAGAUAAUGUACCAAGUCACUUAGUCACAAUGGGUAUUUUAGCUUUGGGUAGAAACAUGCGGAUGGUAAAUGCGUGAUUCAGUGAUUAUUUGUAAGCAUGGCCAGUUUUUGCACUUUUGGAAAUCCUUUUACUUUUCCCUUAUAACUUGCUAUUACUGAUGCUUGAUCAUUGUUUAUACGUUCUACUUCGUUUCGAAUAUGAUGCAUACCGUUUACUUGAAACAGCCUUGUUUUUAUGACUACUUCUAAAAACACCAAUUUUGUUUUAUUACAGGUGUCGACUUACUUUUAGUAGUAUCUCAUUUAAGCAUGAUCAAAUAAAGGUUAAAUUUUAAAUUAAAUAUGGUGACAUUUAUAUAAAGUAGAGCUCAAAAUACGUAUUAGAAAAUGACCUUUUCAACGUAUACCAGUUACCGCCCAGCAAAACCUGCUUCAGCACCAAAACCACUGCCAGAAAUAUAUACUAAUUUUGUUUGCAAGGUUAAAUUGAGGGAAGGUGCAUGAUGGUUCGAUUACCUCUGUAGAUAUUGAGGCUGGUUAUCGUUGAGUGUAACAUUCGUCUCUUACAAACCGUUAUGAGUUUUGAGUUGAGCUGUGUUAUAUCAUCGAUAGCAUACCUCAUCAUUCAAACCACAUGAGGCUUAAGCCAGUUUUACUAUGACCAUACAAAAGAAAAGAAAUCGUUGGUGAGAUUAGCAGUUGUUAGUGAAAAGGUAUACAGGUUUCAUGUCACAAAAACUGAUGUUUUCAGUUGGUUGCGGUGCGAUAUAAGGGUUAUCAACAAAACACCUUUCUACAAAAUGUUAUGCUUGGUAAAAACUAGUCAGAGAUAUACUCGUUUCCAGUUUGCAACUACCAAUGACAAAAAGACACAUGGCAUGCUUUUGAAGCCGAAACGACCACAGUUGAAGUGUAGAAAUACCGUUGACCUAACAGUAACGCAGGAUGUGCAAGUCACAUUUCAGUAUCUGUUCUGCUCUACCCAGUACAAAACGUUAAGGAAUCAUUGUUAAUAAUCAGAAAUGCGCCACACACGACAUAACAUCAGUCUAUUGCUUCCCACUGGUAAGCAAAAGAAAGAAGUGAUUACUCAUAGAUACUACUUUAUCGGUGAUGUGGUCCAAAGAAUACUGACUGUGUCGACGUCGGUUAAAUACCCCCUGUCAGAGAUUAGUAUGGAGUUUUCCCCAAAUUUGGUCUUAUAACCAAUGUAUCACGUUACAUUAUAGCUUACUGAAUCAGGUCAAAACAGAAGCACUUGAAACUACGGCCACUGUUUAGUGUUUUGUGAUCAAAACGUGGGAGCGCCGUAUUUGCUAUGUUAGCGGAACGCAAAGGCACACGUGAUUUUAUUUAAAUGUCUGCGAAAUAUCUUCA